AUUCUUUACUUGGACAUAAUCACUCAAGAAAAAGACAGUUAUCUGAUCUUCCACUGUAUCUUGGUCAAAGCUCUGUCUAGUCAUGGAUCUUAAGGUUAUAGUUGUAUUGCUUGUUGUAAUUGUUUGUAUAGCAGCACAUCAUACGACAGGAUAUUACGACCAACCGGAUUCAUACUAUGACACUCCAGAUGGACUAUACGAUGCACCGGAUACACCAGACUACCCUGAUUAUUAUUACCCAAGAGGGUAUGGAAGACAAAGUCAAAGGUCUGUUUAUAGACCAGUUUACACACGACGAAGGAUAAUCCGACGUAGAUUUCGUGGUUGAAGAGGAAGUACAGGAUUGAGUUAAUCUUUCUACAAUUGUUUUGUGGUGGCUUUUGGUGAAAUCCUUCUGUUUUCUCUACUUCAGAUUGACAGAAACUACGUGUUGAUGAGUAGGAGUGUAAUGUUACUGUGAUAACAAAAGACUUAAAAACUUGAAUGGAAGUUCCAUGACCGUUUUGUUUUCCUCAAUGGAAAAAAAAUGAGAUAAUUGAAUAAAAUCUGUAAAAAAUA